CUCCGGUUGAUCCUGCCGGACCCGACUGCUAUCAGAGUGGGACUAAGCCAUGCGAGUCAACAUAGCAAUAUGUGGCAUACGGCUCAGUAACACGUAGUCAACAUGCCCAGGGGACGUGGAUAACCUCGGGAAACUGAGGAUAAACCGCGAUAAGUCACUACUUCUGGAAUGGGUAAUGACUCAAAUCUACAUGGCCCCUGGAUUGGACUGCGGCCGAUCAGGCUGUUGGUGAGGUAAUGGCCCACCAAACCUGUAACCGGUACGGGCUCUGAGAGGAGGAGCCCGGAGAUGGGCACUGAGACAAGGGCCCAGGCCCUAUGGGGCGCAGCAGGCGCGAAACCUCUGCAAUAGGCGAAAGCCUGACAGGGUUACUCUGAGUGAUUUCCGUUAAGGAGAUCUUUUGGCACCUCUAAAAAUGGUGCAGAAUAAGGGGUGGGCAAGUCUGGUGUCAGCCGCCGCGGUAAUACCAGCACCCCGAGUGGUCGGGACGUUUAUUGGGCCUAAAGCAUCCGUAGCCGGUUCUACAAGUCUUCCGUUAAAUCCACCUGCUUAACAGAUGGGCUGCGGAAGAUACUAUAGAGCUAGGAGGCGGGAGAGGCAAGCGGUACUCGAUGGGUAGGGGUAAAAUCCGUUGAUCCAUUGAAGACCACCAGUGGCGAAGGCGGCUUGCCAGAACGCGCUCGACGGUGAGGGAUGAAAGCUGGGGGAGCAAACCGGAUUAGAUACCCGGGUAGUCCCAGCUGUAAACGAUGCAGACUCGGUGAUGAGUUGGCUUCUUGCCAACUCAGUGCCGCAGGGAAGCCGUUAAGUUUGCCGCCUGGGCAGUACGGUCGCAAGACUGAAACUUAAAGGAAUUGGCGGGGGAGCA
rnacentral:rRNA from 1 species